CAAAACUUGGACAUUAUGACACAUUCAGAUAUUAAUAGAUAACACACCUAGAAUCCCACAGAACAAAAUCAACUUACUGCUGCAGAAAAACCUCAAAUACAUAAAAAGAAGUUCAAGUUUUUCUCUUUUAUAAAGUCGAGAAUCAUCCAGACGGUUUUUAAUGUCACAUUAAAGCAAACAAGACAAUCGACACCGAGAUAUCAAUAGAUUGAUAUGAAGGAAAUUUGAUCAUAAUUUUUUGUAGGCAGAACUUGGAGUUGUAGGAGACACAUUUUAAACUUAUAAACAUGUUUAAAACAACAGAUUCCUGAUAGAAACAGACACAUUAUACUUAUUCUGAGAUGUUGGGUUAGUCACUAAACUUAAAAACAUUAGAAAAAGUUUUGCUUUUAAUCUAAUUGUUGAAACAUUUUGCCUAAUGAAACAGUUUUUAUUACCGAGCAGCAUCUAUUUGCCACCAUCUGGUGUAGGUUUGUCGUUCCAGGUUUGUGAGUCUGUUUUGCACAUCCCUCCUGAGGAUGGAUGUUUAAGAGAAAUGAAGCAGAGCUCUGAGCAGGCGGCUCUGUCCUAUUUCAACAGGAUGGAGCUGCUGAGGUAAUCACAGUCAGCCGAGCCAGGGGCGGAGUCACAUCAAUAAACUGGACGGCACAGUCACUCUUUGGGUGGUCACUCUCCUGAACACCCUUCAUACUAAUCUCUCUCUCUCUCUCUGUCUGUCUGCUUUUGAAUAUCACCAACAUUGAUUACCUGCAGACUUAAAAGAAGGAAUAGGAAAAUGUUACGUCUUUGUCACUCAUUUAAAGUCAAAUUAAGUCAUUUCCAGCCUAAAUGGUCUGUUUGUACCAGACUGUCAUUGUUUCAGUCAAAUGUGGCCUAACCCGGGGAUUCCACUGGAUUCAGAACAGCUCCACUCCGCUCCGGACCGUCAGGCGGAUCGAAUACGCAAGCACAUAGCAUCCACCGGAUCCAAUCUGCCGCCACCAUCGGAGGAGAAGCUCUAGCGAUAUUACCGAUAGUUCUCACGAGACUGAACGAGAUCUCACAAGAUCUUGUGUGUUUUAUUGACAUUGAAUGAGAUCCACCGAUUGGUGUAUAUGAACACCCACAUCCCACAACCCUGGCCUCUAUAAUAUCCUAUUAUCAAGUUAAGAACUGUUCAAUGUAUGGACUUUAUUUUAUUUUGAAUAUUAACAUAAAGUUUAACAUAAAGAAGAGAAGCUGAUGCAGAAGUGCCAAAAACUGCAGUUCCCUGACUGUCCACUAGAGGCUGGCUUAUAGAAACCAUCUCUCUUUUUCCUUCACAGAACACCAAAUUUAGAAAAAACACAAGAAUAUAUAUGUGUGUUUUUCUGUUAUGAAAAUCCCUGCAUGUGUGGGUUCAGGGUGAGUCUAUAAUGUGACUGUGUGUGGGUGUGCUCGGGAGUCUCACGCUGAGCUCUCUCCCUUUUGAUUGCCCUUAUUUCUCUUACCAUUUCUUUCCUUAUGUAAGAUAAAUAAUUCAGGCCUCCAGAGGCGGGAAGUGCAGAGAGAACAUUCAUGGAAAAAAAUGAAAGAGUCAUGAGAGCCCCGACUUUCUCCAUGUAUUGUCUUUCAGUGAAGCACAGAGUACAAAGGCAGUAUUUCCCCUGUAGUGGUGCAUAAACCCCACAACGCACACGAACACACACACACACAAACACACACACACAUCAGUCCUCAACAAGACAGAGUGGCUGUAUUUGCAUUUUGCCCAAAGUGCUUGGCACACAAACAGGAUCUCUUGUUAUCCUUUGUCUAAUAGAUUACAUCUUACUAAACUAUCAGUAAAAUUGUGUCACAACAAAAAUAGAAACAAAUAAAAACAGCACCCUGGAUGAGAAACAAACAGUUUUUACUAUCUGAAUACAUUAAACUCAAUCCACUAACUGCAGAUACAGGCCUGUCCAGCAGAAAUGAUGGUCUACAUCUCCGGUGUGGUUUAUUUCUUCCCUCCACAGAGAGCGUUGGAUUAUCUGUGUUUUUCCUGUUGAGCUACUUAACACCUCAGGCUUUCUGCUAAUACUGCACCUCCCGCUCUCUCCCCCCUCCAGGGUUUGCUGAGGUGGCCGUUCAAGUAGAAAUGUAGAGUUGCUAAAGGGAAAACACGAGCGCACUUAAAAUAUCAAGCCUUGUUUUAUUUCCCUGCAGCUUUACUCGUCAGUAGAAACGCUGUUUCCGGACUUCAUCUGGAGUUUGGUUUCUGCCUGCAUGUGAUGUCGCUCAUCUCACUGCUCGCUGGUUAAAGCCUUCUCACCUAGAAGUUGUCUCAAUCCUGGGUUAGCUCAUUAUUCUCAAAGCGGCUUGUUAAAUGAUUGGCAGGUAAGGCGAUAAGAGUCUUACUCUUGUCUGGUGACACUUUCCUCAACAUCAGACGGUGAAGGGAAACGCAGGAAAGGUUACAAACCCGUGGAUGAGAGCAACAGUUAGAACUGUAGAUUCAGAAAUGAGAGAGUGAGCAUUCAGAGGCCCUCUCAUUGUUAGCAUAGCUGCACUUUAACAUACAACUGUGCUCAUUAGGGCUGUAAUCAACCAAAGAAAUUCUUGGUCGAAUAAAACCCUGAAAUUUUCGACCAAAAAUCGACUAAUUACUCCCAAUUUCCACCGCAUCUGGAGCGGCUAUGAAAAGGUUGUAUCCACCGAUCGUAGCUGAUCAUAACCAUUCAAGUAAAUGUGUCAAUUUCCACCGGAUCGCCGGACUCCGCAGCUGAUCUCAAGAGUUCUAUUUUUUCCGGACGCCGGAGCAUGGCGGAUAAAUUCAGCACAGAUUAACCCGUGCUGGAAAGGAAGUCGGGCACAUAGACAAAAUAAAACAUCCGGCUUCUUUUCAAAAUAAAACACUCUGUGUUUCAGGAGGAUCGUAUUUCACACCAUGCAAACAGGCGGAGACGAACAAGUGAAAGGUUUUUACACGUCAUUUCACCCUGAUGACACCAUGGAUGAGGAGAUGCUGAUUCUAGAAGUCUAGAAGUAGAUUUCCUCCUCUUGAAGGACACAAUCUACUGCUUUUAUGGUUAACCUCUGUGGCUAAGAGACAACUCAUUAUCGCGCGAUUGCACGUGAAUCGGCGGGUUCUUGUGAGUUACCGCUGUCCAUAAUCCACCAUGAAAUUCGCCUCACAAACGGAUCUGGUAGGAAUUGGUGGACGGCGAAAAUCGAUGCUCUUCCAGAUUGGAGCCGUUCUGGAUACAAAUUGGUGAAAAUUGGGGGUUGGGGGGGUUUCCGACCAUGACGGCAAACCCUUCUGUGGUGGGGGACGAUGCGACUCGGCGGGUGAAAAUAUACUGAUAUCAGCACAAGAAGGCAAUUAAACACAAUGAAAGUUGAAACGCUCAAAAUAAGAAUAAAUAUUCAGCAAACCACCGGACGUUGAUUAACGUGGAAGCUCUUCAAUCUUCCUGUUAUCUCCAGUGGGUUGGGCGAAUCCAAAAUGGUGAAAACAAGGGCGGUGUUCUGAGACAAGCUGUUACCUGUGAAACAGGGGUGCUCUGAAAACACCCCCAUUAGCACUUGGUACGUUCCUCCUGAUGAAAUUAAACAAAGACUGUAAAUUGACGCAGAAGAAAAUCGAGUCGACCAAUCAGAAUUUUGGUCGACUCAGCACGUAUUGACAAAUAAGUCGACUUCCACUGAGCAAUAGACAGUUAUUCGCUGCUAGUUUUCUUUAGACCUAAAUUCAAUCGUCUAGAUUCUGUUUAUUUUUAGACGUCUAUUAGACCUCCUUUAGACCAAAAAACGCUCAGUGGGCGAGGACUUCACAGCUUCAUUUCUCAUUUGUUCUCUCACUAUUUGAUAGUGAUGAUUUUGAUGUUGACAGUGUCCCUGAAGGACUGCAGGCUGUUUCAGCUUGGAUUUGUCGUCUCUAUCUGCACUACAGACAAUACAAACAUCAUCCUAAAAACACGAGAGCGGAGGAUUUAUUGGACAAGGACACAGUCAAUGUUUGAGCAGACUCAGACAUUCAGCAUAACGGCUCUGCUAGAAGAGCACUACAGCAUGCACUAAAAGAUCUACUGUUUACAUCAAAAAAGAAAAAAGAAACUGUCCUUUCAAAAAAUAUCUUCAUACUAAAAUGGAAAGCCUCCGUAAAACAAAAGCGUGUUACAGAUUUAUCAUUACAAAGUCUCUGGGUUGAUUCAGGUCACUCUUAAAAAUGUUCAGGCUGCAGGUUUUGCAGAUUUUGCUGCUUAUCAAUAUCUGAGUUUGGACAGUUUAAGAGGUUUUUGUGAGCCACAUGAAAAGAGUAAUACCAACAGUAUCUUUAUCUCCACCCUCCCCCACCCAAUCAAUCCCUCCAUCUCCUUCCCUGUCCCCUCACUCUGCAUGCUUCAGCUGAGAAGUAAAACACAGAGAUGAAGAUGGAACGGACAGAAUGAGAAAGAACUGGAGGACUAAUGAGAACAAAUGAGAGAGGGAGGAGAGCACAAAACAGAGGAAAAAACUGAGUGAUGUGGAGGAUGUGCUGAGAAUAAGGAGAAUGUAUUGAUCCCUGCUUCAUGAUGGACUAAGAGGCUGCUUAUCACUCUGACAGCUAAAGACAAAUGGAGCAUCAGAUGGGCAGCUUUGUGGCUGUGCAGACCGGCGGGGAAAAAUGAAAUACAAGAUCAACAAAAACAAAACAAAAAAACAGCCGAAAGGUUAAACCUUUUCGAGAGGAGGGAGAUUCUAGCUUAGAGCCGUGCACCUCAUUAAAUACUCAGCGUAAGCCCUGUGGAUUUCAUCGAUUGCUGGUGUCCAACAAUGCUUGAGCUUUAUUGUGCAGCCUCCACUGAAAGAGGCGAAAUGAGCAUGAGCCCGGAGCAGGGAUGAUUGUUUUUGCAUCUUGAGUCUAUUUCUGACGAGAGAUCUUAAUGUGGGCUGGCCCAGGAAGCUAAAGUGGGUCAUAGGGUGAAGCAGACAUGAAAGGGCUGACACUAAGUGGAGUCAUCCUUGCUGGGGGGCAUAUCACUGCCUCCACUCUGGUACAUACACACAAAGCCACUGCAUAACACCAACAACCCUUCUUCUUCUCCACCUCCCUGUUAUUUUUGCCCUGGCUCCUCUGUCCGUUUUUAUUUGGUGUUCUCUUCAUGCAGAAACAUCAAAAUGGAUUUUCAUCUCACAUUUGCACCUUUCAGCACGCUGCGGGUUUUACAUUUGAAGCUGGUCCAGAAUCCGGAGAUCCACCUGCAUCCAAGUAAAGACACAUUUGUGCUGCAAAAGCCAACUCUAAACCCCCGCUACAUCCCUACUCUUAAACUAGGGGUGGGAGAAAAAGUCGGUUCACAUAAGUAUCGCAGUUUUUUGUUUUACGAUUUUUAAAUCGACAUUUUUUCUUCAAAUUUAAGAAUAAAUCAUAAAAACUGACUUACAUGUGAUGUGUAUUUUGGGGGGAAAUGUGGUUCCUAGAAUAGUCAGUAGUCAAUCAUAAUCAUUCAGCUGUUUCACCGGUGUUAAAAAUGCAGACUAAAAAUCAACAAUAUCGUAGAAUCACAAUUUAAAUCGAAUCGGCAUCUAAAAAAUUGCAAAAGAAUCGAAUUGGGAGAAAAGCAGAUCGUCCCAGUCCUAUCUUAAACCAAAUCCCAGUUUCAACCCCUGACUCUUUUAAGCCUCUUCAAUGUAAGAAAAGGCGAAGUGUCCUCCUCACCUCCUCUUUUCUAUCCUUAUGGGGGCUUCAGAGUAAAAACACAAGCUGAGGUAGAGGAACAGCAGGCUCUAGGACCCUGUGUUUCUGCCGUAAAUAGGCAGCAGCAGAGCCGAGGGAGGAAAAGAGAGAGAGAGCGAGAGAGAGAGGCAGAGAGAGAGAGGUGUAGGAGGAGAGAGUCGAGGCUGUAUUUGGAAAGUCAGAGAGAAGCAGAGAGAGGCAGGAGAAAGUUGACAUCGUGUGAGGUGGUCUGCAGCCGCAGCGAGGAUAAAAAGAAAAGACCUUCUUCCGUCUGAGAGGGUGAGAGAGCGAGCUGAGGAGGAUGAGAGAGAGCGAGGUGUGCAGGGGGAAGGGGAGCCUGCUGUGACAGACAGAGCGUGCACAGUACUGCUGCCUGCCUGCACAGGUGUAAGAGGUGCAUCUGUACGCGUUCACAGCCGAAUCAGCACAGCUCGACGGAGGGACAAUGACAUGUUUGAGUGACUUCCUCUGAAUCUCAGCGUUCACUUCACCUCCUCUGAACCCAAGCACGUGAAAGGACACACUUCACGGUGUGUACACCUUUAUCAGGACAAACGCAGCGGAUACUCACCAGCAAACAGCUUCAGUCAGAGGAUCAGUGAGGGACUGAAUCCAGUCCAGUGGAUGGUCGAGACCGGGACGCUGACUGUCCACGUUUCUUCUCGAGGACUCAUCCUGAGGACAGCAGAGAUUCAAACAGAAAGGUGAGCAGAUAUUUAAAGGAGCAGACAUGACCAGCCGAUGAAAAUCCAACCCCCACAUCUUCCCCUGAUUCCUGGGUUUGUCCCCUCAUUACCUCCUUUAACCCCACUGUGGAAAAGGUUUGGAUUAAAAACAGCCUGUUCAAUAAUAAUAAUGCAGCUCCAUCAUCUGUUAUUGUUUUAUCACUAAAAAAUAAUGAUUUAUGGAAAUUGUGUCACUAAUCUUACAAAACAGGUUAAAUAUUAUUUUUUGGCUUCUUAUAUACUAAAAAAAAAAAUGUUUUUUUUAACACUACUUGUGUCUGAAAUUCUUCAUUUUGGCUUUAAAAAAUAAAAUAUCUUUAAAAGACCGAAAAACAAAGAAUAAUAUUCUGAUGGUGAAAACACUUGACACCAAACACUGACCCUGCAGAGUAACGCUAAUCCUAAACCU